rnacentral:rRNA from 1 species
UAGAUGAACGCUGGCGGCGUGCUUAACACAUGCAAGUCGAACGAUGAUCUCCAGCUUGCUGGGGGGAUUAGUGGCGAACGGGUGAGUAACACGUGAGUAACCUGCCCUUGACUCUGGGAUAAGCCUGGGAAACUGGGUCUAAUACCGGAUACGACCGUCCCGCGCAUGCGGUGGUGGUGGAAAGCUUUUGCGGUUUUGGAUGGACUCGCGGCCUAUCAGCUUGUUGGUGGGGUAAUGGCCUACCAAGGCGACGACGGGUAGCCGGCCUGAGAGGGUGACCGGCCACACUGGGACUGAGACACGGCCCAGACUCCUACGGGAGGCAGCAGUGGGGAAUAUUGCACAAUGGGCGAAAGCCUGAUGCAGCGACGCCGCGUGAGGGAUGACGGCCUUCGGGUUGUAAACCUCUUUCAGUAGGGAAGAAGCGAAAGUGACGGUACCUGCAGAAGAAGCGCCGGCUAACUACGUGCCAGCAGCCGCGGUAAUACGUAGGGCGCAAGCGUUAUCCGGAAUUAUUGGGCGUAAAGAGCUCGUAGGCGGUUUGUCGCGUCUGCUGUGAAAGACCGGGGCUCAACUCCGGUUCUGCAGUGGGUACGGGCAGACUAGAGUGAUGUAGGGGAGACUGGAAUUCCUGGUGUAGCGGUGAAAUGCGCAGAUAUCAGGAGGAACACCGAUGGCGAAGGCAGGUCUCUGGGCAUUAACUGACGCUGAGGAGCGAAAGCAUGGGGAGCGAACAGGAUUAGAUACCCUGGUAGUCCAUGCCGUAAACGUUGGGCACUAGGUGUGGGGGACAUUCCACGUUUUCCGCGCCGUAGCUAACGCAUUAAGUGCCCCGCCUGGGAG